GACGAACGCUGGCGGCGUGCUUAACACAUGCAAGUCGAACGGAAAGGCCCUGCUUUUGUGGGGUGCUCGAGUGGCGAACGGGUGAGUAACACGUGAGUAACCUGCCCUUGACUUUGGGAUAACAUCAGGAAACUGGGGCUAAUACCGGAUAGGAGCUCCUGCUGCAUGGUGGGGGUUGGAAAGUUUCGGCGGUUGGGGAUGGACUCGCGGCUUAUCAGCUUGUUGGUGGGGUAGUGGCUUACCAAGGCUUUGACGGGUAGCCGGCCUGAGAGGGUGCCCGGCCCCAUUGGCACUGGGAUGCGGCCCAGACUCCUACGGGCGGCAGCAGUGGGGAAUAUUGCACAAUGCGCGGCAGCCUGAUGCAGCAACGCCGCGUGCGGGAUGACGGCCUUCGGGUUGUAAACCGCUUUCGCCUGUGACGAAGCGUGAGUGACGGUAAUGGGUAAAGAAGCACCGGCUACCUACGU
rnacentral:rRNA from 1 species